AGAGAGAGAGAAAAACGAGAAAAAAAAAAGUUCAGAUAAAUUUAAAAAUAAAAUCUCACUUUUUGAUGGAGAUUUUACUUAAAAUUUUUCUUUUUAUGGGCUCCUACCUGGUAACCAACUGAGCCUUGGUAACAAAGAUUGAAACCAACUGAAACUUACAUUACAGUCAAAAGCAAAUCUCCUGGCUA